CCGGCGCCAUUCGCGCGGCUGCGGCGGUGCGGGGCCCGGCGGAUGGAGGCGGCUGGCGAUCUCCGGCGGCCCUCGCCCUGGCCCCGGCCCCGGGUGCUCGUGGUGGGCGCGGGGAUCGCGGCGCUGGGGGCGGCCCAGCGGCUCCACGGCUCCCAGCGCUUCCCCGGGCUGCGCCUGCUGGAGGCCACUGGCCGGGCCGGCGGCCGCGUCUGCUCCCAGCGCUUCGGGAGUAGAGUGGUUGAGAUUGGAGCCCACUGGAUUCAUGGCCCCUCUAAAGGAAACCCUGUCUUCCAGCUAGCUUCUGAGUAUGGCCUGCUGGAUGAGGAAGCCACAUCAGAGGAGAACCAGCAGAUUGAGACUGGGGGGCAUCCAGUCCUCCCCUCUCUGUCCUAUUCGAGCUCAGGGAGAAUCUUGAGCCCAGAGCUGGUGAUCUCAAUGAGGAAUCUGUUUUCUACCCUCUUGGGUCAAACGCACAUGUUCCUGAACUUGGCACAGGUGCCUGUGCCAAGUGUUGGUGAGUACCUCAAGAAAGAGAUUGCUGAGCAAGUGAAAGAAUGGACAGAUGAUGAUGAUGAAACCAAGCAGCUGAAACUGGCAGUCCUGAACACAUACUUCAAGCUGGAGUGCUGCGUGAGUGGGACCCACAGUAUGGACUUGGUUGCCCUGAGGUCUUUUGGGGAGUAUGUCACACUCCCUGGCCUGGACUGCACCUUCCCUGGUGGCUACGGAGGCCUCAUAGACUGCAUGCUGGCAUCCCUGUCCAAGGAGAGCAUCUUGUUUAACAAACCAGUGAAGACCAUUCACUGGAGAGGCUCCUACCAAGAGGAGGGCUCAGAGGGACGGACAUUCCCAGUCCAGGUGGAGUGUGAGGAUGGAGAGACAUUCCUAGCAGAUCAUGUCAUAGUCACAGUCCCUCUAGGUUUCCUUAAAGAGCAUCACAAGACUUUUAUUCAGCCCUCGCUGCCUCUGCAGAAAGUGGAAGCAAUUAACCAGCUGGGUUUUGGAACAAACAAUAAGAUCUUCCUGGAGUUUGAGAAGCCAUUCUGGGACCCAGACUGCCAGCUAAUCGAGGUUGUCUGGGACGAUGAGUCUCCUCUUGCUGCACCUAGCACCAACCUCCAGGCUGACUGGUUCAAAAAGCUCGUCGGCUUUGUGGUCCUCCAGCCUCCAGAACAGUAUGGGCAUGUUCUAUGUGGCUUUAUUGCUGGGAAGGAAUCUGAAUACAUGGAGACCCUCAGUGACAGUGAAGUUCUCACUGCCUUUACACACAUCAUUCGUAAACUGACAGGGAACCACCACCUGGCUCCGCCAACAAAGGUGCUGAGAUCUAAGUGGCACAGUGCUCCAUACACCAGAGGUUCCUACAGUUACGUGGCUGUUGGCAGCUCAGGAGAAGACAUUGACACACUGGCUCAGCCCCUUCCCGAGGAGACCUCUGACCCCAGGCUACUGCAGGUUCUGUUUGCGGGAGAAGCCACACAUCGGACUUUUUACUCCACUACGCAUGGCGCCUUGCUGUCAGGCUGGCGGGAGGCUGAUCGCCUCCUCAGCCUGUAUGACGCCUCCGAACUCCACCAGCCCAAGCCAAGGCUCUGACACUGCUUCUCUUCCUGCUCUUGGUCUUGGGGUUCCAGUCAUCUGACCAGUGACUACUUUCAUCCCACAUCUUUACUAAGAAUCAGCUGCUAGAUGCAGGGGAAGAAGCACCUAGCACUACUGGCAGUGGGGCCCCAAGGACAGUUCCAUCUGCUGCAGAUAUACUCCAUAUGUGCCAGCUCUGUCAGUACUGGAGCCAGGAUCCAACAGCUCUCCUCCACCGCCAGUCACCAUCUCUGAGGAAUGGCUCAAGCGGAGUUGGACCUGGCAGUGCAAGUACAGCAGAAUGGGGAAAGCCUCAGAACAGGCAGACUCUGAGGACUGCAUAGCACACCAUGCCCUUCUGCAGAGGCUAGCGGAGGCCCAGGAGGUGGUACCCAGCACAAGGUAGUGCAUUGGGCAGCAGCCGCCAGCAAGGAGAACUGGCAUGUCAUUGACAUGGUGCUGGCCCUGGCAGGAGGAGGGGAAGCGGGCUGAGCAGGCUGGACAGCCUUGCUGCAGCAUAUGAACCUGAGGUGGCGUUUAGAGGCUGGGAUACUGGGCACCUCCCUCCCAGCUCUAAGCGAAUCCUCCCCACUGUUUGCCUUCUGACACGUGUCAAUAAACUGUACAUAGUUUCAUGGGGAUGAGGAUAAUUUAUUGGUGGUACACUUUGUGGUUAGGGGGAGGUCUGUUGUUGGUGAGGAGGAAAGGAAGGGGUCUGUUGUUCUAUUGUGGAAGGAAUAAAGUUUGGACUUUGUUACAAA